CGCCUACCUGCCUGGUGUGUGGAAACGUGACUCUCCACGCCUCUUCAGGUUACGGAUACACGCCACCAGAGGUCAACUUUCAGGCUCUAUAGAGAGACUACCUUCGACAAGGCUAUCUGUCUGCUGGAUUGAGAUAGCUGAUCGCGUGUGACAUAGAGAAGACUGUACCAAGGAUGGAUACGGGGCACUCCAAAGUCUCAUGGACAGGAGUUAAGAA